rnacentral:rRNA from 1 species
UACGUAGGGGGCUAGCGUUGUCCGGAAUCAUUGGGCGUAAAGAGCGUGUAGGCGGUCCGGUAAGUCCGCUGUGAAAGUCGGGGGCUCAACCCUCGAAUGCCGGUGGAUACUGUCGGGCUAGAGUGCGGAAGAGGGGGAUGGAAUUCCGCGUGUAGCAGUGAAAUGCGUAGAUAUGCGGAGGAACACCGAUGGCGAAGGCAAUCCCCUGGGCCUGCACUGACGCUCAUGCACGAAAGCGUGGGGAGCAAACAGG